rnacentral:piRNA from 1 species
UGCAAUUCAGUGGGUGAGCGGGAG